GGGAAUCUACCUAGUUCUGCGGAACGACAGUUGGAAACGACUGCUAAUACCGCAUACGCCCUACGGGGGAAAGAUUUAUCGGAAUUAGAUGAGCCCGCGUAAGAUUAGCUAGUUGGUGGGGUAAUGGCCUACCAAGGCGACGAUCUUUAGCUGGUCUGAGAGGAUGAUCAGCCACACUGGGACUGAGACACGGCCCAGACUCCUACGGGAAGCAGCAGUGGGGAAUAUUGGACAAUGGGCGCAAGCCUGAUCCAGCCAUGCCGCGUGAGUGAUGAAGGCCUUAGGGUUGUAAAGCUCUUUCAGUGGGGAAGAUAAUGACGGUACCCACAGAAGAAGCCCCGGCUAACUUCGUGCCAGCAGCCGCGGUAAUACGAAGGGGGCUAGCGUUGUUCGGAUUUACUGGGCGUAAAGCGCACGUAGGCGGAUAUUUAAGUCAGGGGUGAAAUCCCGGGGCUCAACCCCGGAACUGCCUUUGAUACUGGGUAUCUAGAGUCCAGAAGAGGUGAGUGGAAUUCCGAGU
rnacentral:rRNA from 1 species